UACACAUACAUUUACUUGUAUACACACACAUAUAUUAAGUGUGUGUGUGUGUGGUCAAUGUUUCAUCCAGCAAUAGUUAGCUUGCACUAACUUAAUCUGGAUAUCUAAUGCAUGAUGUUUAAUACAUGAUGUCUGUUUGGCUCAUUCUAGACACCCACUCUGAGAAAACACUUGACUUUCACUGGCCAUGAGAACCAUCUGGAUUCUGGUGAUAACUGGAUCCUCCUGUUCCCAAGGCUACCCAUCAAGUCAUUUGACAGCUGGAAGCACAAAUUAAACCACGCAUCUUGAGUUGCUGUCUAUGCUGAGAGAGACAUCAUGCGAUCACCAAGAGCAAGCAAGUGAGCACACUGUGACUCUCCAAAAAACUGAGAGAUCUCUUUAUAAGUAAACCAGGAACUGAAAGACCUCUUUUAAAUAGAUCAGGAAGAGUGUGGUUGGUCGGGCAUUUCAGAGACUAAACCAUGGAGUAUAUAAAAUCAAGAGUAAACUGUUAAGUGGG
rnacentral:lncRNA from 1 species